GCCCUGGUGGUCUAGUGGUUAAGAUUCGGCACUGUCACUGCCAAGGCACAGGUUUGUUUCCUGGUCAAGGAG
rnacentral:tRNA from 1 species